rnacentral:rRNA from 1 species
GACGAACGCUGGCGGCGUGCUUAACACAUGCAAGUCGAACGAAGAGCGACGGAAGCUUGCUUCUAUCAAUCUUAGUGGCGAACGGGUGAGUAACGCGUAAUCAACCUGCCCUUCAGAGGGGGACAACAGUUGGAAACGACUGCUAAUACCGCAUACGAUCUAAUCUCGGCAUCGAGGAUAGAUGAAAGGUGGCCUCUACAUGUAAGCUAUCACUGAAGGAGGGGAUUGCGUCUGAUUAGCUAGUUGGAGGGGUAACGGCCCACCAAGGCGAUGAUCAGUAGCCGGUCUGAGAGGAUGAACGGCCACAUUGGGACUGAGACACGGCCCAGACUCCUACGGGAGGCAGCAGUGGGGAAUCUUCCGCAAUGGACGAAAGUCUGACGGAGCAACGCCGCGUGAGUGAUGACGGCCUUCGGGUUGUAAAGCUCUGUUAAUCGGGACGAAAGGCCUUCUUGCGAACAGUUAGAAGGAUUGACGGACCGAAUAGAAA